rnacentral:rRNA from 1 species
GUCCAUGGCCAUACCACCCUGAACGUGACUGAUCCCGUCUGAUCUUGGUAGCUAAGCAGGGUUGGGCCUGGUUAGUACUUUGAUGGGAGAGUGCUUGGAGAAUUACAAAUAAACCUGCCAUAUGACC